AGCGAACGCUGGCGGCAGGCCUAACACAUGCAAGUCGAACGAACCUUUCGGGGUUAGUGGCGGACGGGUGGGUAACACGUGGGAACGUGCCUUUAGGUUCGGAAUACCUCAGGGAAACUUGUGCUAAUACCGAAUGUGCCCUUCGGGGGAAAGAUUUAUCGCCUUUAGAGCGGCCCGCGUCUGUUUAGCUAGUUGGUUGAGGUAAUGGCUCACCAAGGCGACGAUCAGUAGCUGGUCUGAGAGGAGGAUCAGCCACAUUGGGACUGAGACACGGCCCAAACUCCUACGGGAGGCAGCAGUGGGGAAUCUUGCGCAAUGGGCGAAAGCCUGACGCAGCCAUGCCGCGUGAAUGAUGAAGGUCUUAGGAUUGUAAAAUUCUUUCACCGGGGACGAUAAUGACGGUACCCGGAGAAGAAGCCCCGGCUAACUUCGUG
rnacentral:rRNA from 1 species